rnacentral:rRNA from 1 species
GACGUAGGAGGCGAGCGUUAUCCGGAUUCACUGGGCGUAAAGCGCAUGUAGGCGGUCGGACAAGUCCUUACUGAAAGCCCCUGGCUCAACUGGGGGAGGCGUGAGGAGACUGUACGACUGGAGGGCAGGAGAGGUCGGUGGAACUCCCGGUGUAGCGGUGGAAUGCGUAGAGAUCGGGAAGAACAUCAGUGGCGAAGGCGACCGACUGGGCUGCACCUGACGCUGGAAUGCGAAAGUGUGGGGAGCAAACGGG